ACGGAAGGCAGCAGUGAGGAAUAUUGGUCAAUGGGCGGAAGCCUGAACCAGCCAAGUUGCGUGAAGGAUGAAGGUAUUAUGUAUUGUAAACUUCUUUAGCUGUGGAGCAAUAAUCUCCAUGUAUGGAGAGAUGAGAGUACACAGAGAAUAAGGAUCGGCUAACUCCGUGCCAGCAGCCGCGGUAAUACGGAGGAUCCGAGCGUUAUCCGGAUUUAUUGGGUUUAAAGGGUGCGCAGGCGGCUUUCUAAGUCAGUGGUCAAAUCGGGGGGCUCAACGCCAUCCCGCCAUUGAUACUGGAGAGCUUGAUUGCGGUCGAGGUUUGCGGAAUUCGUCGUGUAGCGGUGAAAUGCAUAGAUAUGGCGAAGAACACCGAUUGCGUAGGCAGCAGACCAGGCCGUAAAUGACGCUCAUGCACGAAAGUGCGGGGAUCGAACAGGAUUAGAUACCCUGGUA
rnacentral:rRNA from 1 species